CCUACGGGUGGCUGCAGUGGGGAAUAUUGGACAAUGGGCGAAAGCCUGAUCCAGCCAUGCCGCGUGUGUGAAGAAGGCCUUCGGGUUGUAAAGCACUUUCAGUGGGGAAGAAAGCCUUGGGGCUAAUACCCUCGAGGAAGGACAUCACCCACAGAAGAAGCACCGGCUAACUCCGUGCCAGCAGCCGCGGUAAUACGGAGGGUGCGAGCGUUAAUCGGAAUUACUGGGCGUAAAGCGCGCGUAGGCGGUCUGAUAAGCCGGUUGUGAAAGCCCCGGGCUCAACCUGGGAACGGCAUCCGGAACUGUCAGGCUAGAGUGCAGGAGAGGAAGGUAGAAUUCCCGGUGUAGCGGUGAAAUGCGUAGAGAUCGGGAGGAAUACCAGUGGCGAAGACGGCCUUCUGGACUGACACUGACGCUGAGGUGCGAAAGCGUGGGUAGCAAACAGGAUUAGAUACCCGAGUAGUC
rnacentral:rRNA from 1 species